rnacentral:lncRNA from 1 species
GACAAAACUGAUAAUGAAAUAAUCAGAAUUCCUUGAAUUCUGAACGGAGUGAAACAUUGCAGGUACAUCGACAUAACAGAUGGUAAUAACACAUUAUGGAUAUAGAGAUAUAUGUCACAUUUAUAAAAGAGCGACAAAAUAUACCAAAGAGACAUUCAAAUUCAUAAGAAGCAAAUAGCCUAACAAUGCCAGGGCUUAAAAGAAAAAGACCAACAGACAAACAACAGUACACAAAACACAACAUAGAAAACGAGAG